CCCUUAGAUGUUCUGGGCUGCACGCGCGCUACACUGAAGCGUUCAACGAGUAUUCACCUUGCCCGGGAGGGUUGGGUAAUCUUUUCAAAACGCUUCGUGAUGGGGAUAGAUUAUUGCAAUUAUUAAUCUUCAACGAGGAAUUCCUAGUAAGUGCGAGUCAUCAGCUUGCGCUGACUACGUCCCUGCCCCUUGUACACACCGCCCGUCGCUGCCCGGAACUGAGCCGUUUCGAGAAAGCCGGGGACCGACGACUUGUGGGUGCGCAAGCACUUCUAGUCGAUGGAAACCAGUUUAAUCGGUAUGGCUUGAACCGGGCAAAAGUCGUAACA
rnacentral:rRNA from 1 species